rnacentral:rRNA from 1 species
GACGAACGCUGGCGGCGUGCUUAACACAUGCAAGUCGAACGAUAAGGCCCUUCGGGGUACACGAGUGGCGAACGGGUGAGUAACACGUGGGUGAUCUGCCCUGCACUUCGGGAUAAGCCGGGGAAACUGGGUCUAAUACCGGAUAGGACUCCGGACUGCAUGGUCUGGGGUGGAAAGCUUUUGCGGUGUGGGAUGGGACCGCGGCCUAUCAGCUGGUUGGUGGGGUGAUGGCCUCCCAAGGCGACGACGGGUAGCCGGCCUGAGAGGGUGACCGGCCACACUGGGACUGAGAUACGGCCCAGACUCCUACGGGAGGCAGCAGUGGGGAAUAUUGCACAAUGGGCGCAAGCCUGAUGCAGCGACGCCGCGUGAGGGAUGACGGCCUUCGGGUUGUAAACCUCUUUCAGCAUCGACGAAGCGAAAGUGACGGUAGGUGCAGAAGAAGGACCGGCCAACUACGUGGCAGCCGCCGCCGUAA